CAGUCGCCGCGGGAAUACGAAGGGGGCUAGCGUUGUUCGGAAUUACUGGGCGUAAAGCGCACGUAGGCGGAUAUUUAAGUCAGGGGUGAAAUCCCAGAGCUCAACUCUGGAACUGCCUUUGAUACUGGGUAUCUUGAGUAUGGAAGAGGUGAGUGGAAUUCCGAGUGUAGAGGUGAAAUUCGUAGAUAUUCGGAAGAACACCAGUGGCGAAGGCGGCUCACUGGACUGGUAUUGACGCUGAGGUGCGAAAGCGUGGGGAGCAAACAGGAUUAGAUACCCCGGUAGUCCCUGUCUCUUAUAC
rnacentral:rRNA from 1 species